AUUGAACGCUGGCGGCAGGCCUAACACAUGCAAGUCGAACGAACGGCGGACGGGUGAGUAAUGUCUGGGAAACUGCCUGAUGGAGGGGGAUAACUACUGGAAACGGUAGCUAAUACCGCAUACCAUCUGAUAUGCCCAGAGGGGAUUAGCUCGGAGGUGGGGUAACGUCUCACCUAGGCGACGAUCCCUAGCUGGUCUUAGAGGAUGACCAGCCACACUGGAAGUGAGACACGGUCCAGACUCCUACGUGAGGAAGCAGUGGGGAAUAUUGCACAAUGGGCGCAAGCCUGAUGCAGCCAUGCCGCGUGUAUGAAGAAGGCCUUCGGGUUGUAAAGUACUUUCAGCGGGGAGGCGUUACUCGCAGAAGAAGCACCGGCUAACUCCGUGCCAGCAGCCGCGGUAAUAC
rnacentral:rRNA from 1 species